rnacentral:tRNA from 1 species
AUUUAUAUAGUUUAUUAAAAAAACAUUUCAUUUUCAAUGGAAAAAUAGGUAUAUUACCUUAUAAAUA